AACGCUGGCGGCGUGCUUAACACAUGCAAGUCGAACGGAAAGGCCCUGCUUUUGUGGGGUGCUCGAGUGGCGAACGGGUGAGUAACACGUGAGUAACCUGCCCUUGACUUUGGGAUAACUUCAGGAAACUGGGGCUAAUACCGGAUAGGAGCUCCUGCUGCAUGGUGGGGGUUGGAAAGUUUCGGCGGUUGGGGAUGGACUCGCGGCUUAUCAGCUUGUUGGUGGGGUAGUGGCUUACCAAGGCUUUGACGGGUAGCCGGCCUGAGAGGGUGACCGGCCACAUUGGGACUGAGAUACGGCCCAGACUCCUACGGGAGGCAGCAGUGGGGAAUAUUGCACAAUGGGCGGAAGCCUGAUGCAGCAACGCCGCGUGCGGGAUGACGGCCUUCGGGUUGUAAACCGCUUUCGCCUGUGACGAAGCGUGAGUGACGGUAAUGGGUAAAGAAGCACCGGCUAACUACGUGCCAGCAGCCGCGGUGAUACGUAGGGUGCGAGCGUUGUCCGGAUUUAUUGGGCGUAAAGGGUUCGUAGGUGGUUGAUCGCGUCGGAAGUGUAAUCUUGGGGCUUAACCCUGAGCGUGCUUUCGAUACGGGUUGACUUGAGGAAGGUAGGGGAGAAUGGAAUUCCUGGUGGAGCGGUGGAAUGCGCAGAUAUCAGGAGGAACACCAGUGGCGAAGGCGGUUCUCUGGGCCUUUCCUGACGCUGAGGAGCGAAAGCGUGGGGAGCGAACAGGCUUAGAUACCCUGGUAGUCCACGCUGUAAACGGUGGGUACUAGGUGUGGGGUCCAUUCCACGGGUUCCGUGCCGUAGCUAACGCUUUAAGUACCCCGCCUGGGGAGUACGGCCGCAAGGCUAAAACUCAAAGGAAUUGACGGGGCCCCGCACAAGCGGCGGAGCAUGCGGAUUAAUUCGAUGCAACGCGUAGAACCUUACCUGGGUUUGACAUGGAUCGGGAGUGCUCAGAGAUGGGUGUGCCUCUUUUGGGGUCGGUUCACAGGUGGUGCAUGGCUGUCGUCAGCUCGUGUCGUGAGAUGUUGGGUUAAGUCCCGCAACGAGCGCAACCCUUGUUCACUGUUGCCAGCACGUUAUGGUGGGGACUCAGUGGAGACCGCCGGGGUCAACUCGGAGGAAGGUGGGGAUGACGUCAAGUCAUCAUGCCCCUUAUGUCCAGGGCUUCACGCAUGCUACAAUGGCUGGUACAGAGAGUGGCGAGCCUGUGAGGGUGAGCGAAUCUCGGAAAGCCGGUCUCAGUUCGGAUUGGGGUCUGCAACUCGACCUCAUGAAGUCGGAGUCGCUAGUAAUCGCAGAUCAGCAACGCUGCGGUGAAUACGUUCCCGGGGCUUGUACACACCGCCCGUCAAGUCAUGAAAGUUGGUAACACCCGAAGCCGGUGGCCUAACCGUUGUGGGGGAGCCGUCGAAGGUGGGACUGGUGAUUAGGAC
rnacentral:rRNA from 1 species